GGAUGAAGACGCUCGAAUUGCGCGUCGUGGCGCCCAAGGCCACGUAAAAAUGGGCAAACCAUGCAACUGCGAACGAUAACGCUGUUGCUCUCGCUGCCUGAUAAAACCAGGUAACGACGGUGCUCGCGGCUUCCGUCUGUAGCCACGAAACACCGACACAACCAGACUAGAUCUCCUGACCCGUCAGCGCACGGAGAUCGAAAUUCAGCUGGCUUGUUGUGCUCGCAGGUCGGCCGCUGCCGGCGAGCACGAGACCUUAAAUAGCGUGCCUACGCACGUAGACGUUCGAGUAGAAGCAUCUUCGGACGCGGGUUCGACUCCCGCCGCCUCCACCA
rnacentral:tmRNA from 1 species